UACGUAGGCAGCGAGCGUUGUUCGGAAUUACUGGGCGUAAAGAGCGUGUAGGCGGUUUGGUAGGUCCGUUGUGAAAACUCGAGGCUCAACCUCGAGACGCCGAUGGAAACCAUCAGACUAGAGUCCGGAAGAGGAGAGUGGAAUUCCUGGUGUAGCGGUGAAAUGCGCAGAUAUCAGGAAGAACACCCGUGGCUAAGGCGGCUCUCUAGUACGGUACUGACGCUGAGACGCGAAAGCGUGGGGAGCGAACAGG
rnacentral:rRNA from 1 species